rnacentral:antisense_RNA from 1 species
GGGAAGGCUUUAAAAAGCCGAUAUGGACCAGGGUAGAGUUCGUACGCUGUAGCUUUUCAAGAACACCGAUCUCAUUAAUUAAAGAACAGCAACUAUUUAAUUCCAGUUAUAAACUAUUGUUUUCCAGUUAGUCUGGGUAGGUGUGACCGUUUGUAGAAUAGUUAGAUUACAUUAGUCUUUAUUGCGUUGGUACAGUUGUCUAUAGCUUGAGCAUAUAAAAACUCCUGAGCCCAGCAGAAAAGUUACUUUCCAAUACCAUUCUCCAUCCUCCGUGCUUUGGAAGUUGCAUCGUUUUCCGGUUUUUCAUACCCAAAGAACACUGUCAGUUAUGACAGCUCUGUGGCCCCUGGUAAUGAAUUAGUGUAUUAGUCACUCCUGAAACGUUCCUUAAAGUGCUGGAAUUUAACAGUAGCACACCACAUCCAGUACAUAGCUGUACCGUAUUUCCAUAUUUUUCAAAGCUGAAAAUCUUAAUUGGAUAUCUUGGAUCAUUAACUUAAAACCUCAGCGGAUUUUUCUUUCAAAGCAGACAUAACUGAGGAUGCUGACCAAUGAAUGCAAAUAAACUAUGCAAUAUUUUUAAAAAUAACAAAUGUAUGUUAGUUUUUUUUUAAGCUGAGGUCAGCUAUGUUUUGGGGGGGGUAUGUGCUUUUUUAAAUUAUUGUUUUAUUUCAGUCGAUUUUUGGGUGGUGUUUGGUUAUAUGAAUAAGGUUUUUAGUUUAAUUUCUGGGAUUUUGGUGCGUCCGAGCAAUGUACAUUGUACCCAAUGUGUAGUCUUUUGUGCCUCAUUAGCCUUCCCCUUACCCCCGAGCCCCCAAGUCCCCAAAGUCCAAUGUAUCAUUCUUAUUGAAGACAGAUAAAUUUUUUUAACUCUGAGACUCACUGGAGAGAAUGACUGGUUGUCUUUGGGUGUUACUGGAAAGCCAAAGGAUUAAGCAAUAGGGAUAAAGUAGAGGAGGAGAUAAUUGUUCUCGUAUGUCAUAUGAAAAUGCUACCAUAGAAGAAGCCGAAGGAAGUUCCCGAAUUUAUGAUAUCCUCUUCCCUUUUUUCCAAAGAAAGAUGCAGUCUAGCAUCUCAGUUAAGAAUAUGGACUCUAAAGUCAGACUGCCGGGCUUCAAAUCCCGGUUCUGUGACCUCAGCAAAGUUACUUAACUAAGCUCUCAGUGCCUUGUUUUCUACAUCUGUAAAGUGAGGAUGACGUCACAGCAUUGUUGAGAGAAUUAAUACAGGCUCCAGACUUGUGAAUGAAGAACGGUUGAGAUGACCCCAGCCCCAGCCACCACCUGAUGACAACCAUAUCAGAGAUCCUAAGAGCUGCCUAGCUGACCCCAGGCACCCCCAGAUUUAUCCAGCACUUAGAAGAAUGCCAGGCAGGCUUUCCCCACCAACCAAGAUGGAAUAACAGGGAAAAGACAUACCCUUCUAUCUUCAAUAAUUGGAAACCCAGACAAAGUUUAUGAAAUGCUGGUUUUCAAGACAUAGGACAUCAGACAAUCAAGGGCAGUAAACACUGAGAUGGGAAACAAACAAGGUGAGUACUGCAAUUGCCCAACAUUACUAGCUGGAAAGAGUUUCCCGACCACGGCAGAGGGAGGAGGACCCUUGGAGGUUCUGUGGUGUCCCUGAGUUGAGGAGACAAAGUUGAAAUUCCAGAGUGGUCAAGGCAGCUGGAGUUUGUAGAGCAGAGUACCAGAGAGAAAAUAGAUGCACAGAGAGAACCUCAGAGAUCUGCAAAAGAUCUCAGCUCUUCAGCUGUGCACAUAUCAGUACAUGCAUGUGACAAAGCACCCCAAGGCCAGGGGAAGAAUCACCUGCAAGUAUGAAGAGAAAUACUUGGAGCACAUACAAACCAGGAAUAAUUUCAGUUCUCACCAGCCAAAUUGGAAGACCCCAUAGAUAACGGGAAUUAGGUAGAGCAGGGGUCCCCAACCUCCAGGGGCACUGACCAGUACUGUCCAUGGCCUGUUAGGAACUGGGCCGCACAGCAGGAGGUGAGCGGCAGGCUAGCCAGCAAACCUUCAUCUGUAUUUAUAGCUCCCAUCACUUGCAUUACUCCCCAUCACUCUCCAUCACUUGCGUUACCACCUGAGCUCCACCUCCUCUCAGAUCAGCAGCAGCAUUAGAUUCUCACAGGAGCGUGAACCCUAUUGUGAACUGCACGUGCGAGGGAUCUAGGUUGAGCGCUGUUUAUGAGAAUCUAACGCCUGAUGAUCUGAGGUGCAGCUGAGGCAGUGUUGCUAGGAGGUAGGUAUUUUGUUGCUGAGGAGUGGAAGCAAAUACAGAUUAACAUUAGCAGAGAGGGUUGACUGUACAGAGACCAUAAUAAAACAGUUGCCUCCAGACUCAUAUCAAAACCCUAUCAGUGAGUGGCAAGUGACAAUUAAGCUGCAUCUGGUGGCAGACUUUAUAGAGGCAAGUGAGUCGAUGUAUUUCAAUUGCACAGCUGUAUCUGGUGGCAAGUUUUAAGUCAGAAUCUGACACUUAAUUUAGUCUGUGCAUGACCUGCCCAUUAUUUUAUUUACCACUUCUGUCUGUGCCGCUUUCCUACACUGAACACUUGUCUCAGUCACAGUUUUGGUAAGCCCACAAGCUAAGGCUAGCUAAAAUGAGUAAAAAGCAGACAUCACUGGAGAGCUUCUUUGAAAAUCAGAGACACCCAAUGAUGAGACAGCAGAAGACUCUAAGACUGCCAACAAAAAGAAAGCUGCACUUAAAAGAAAAUACCAGACUGGGCGUGGUGGCUCACACCUGUAAUCCUAACACUUUGGGAGGCUGAAGCGGGUGGAUCACUUGAGGCCAGGAGUUUGAGACCAGCCUAGCCAACAUGGUGAAACCCAUGUUUCU